CAAUUUACCCUUCCACCAGAUACAUAUCUACCAGAAUUGCCACCGCCAAGUCAAAAGCGUACUGGUUCGUUGUCUUUUUAUUUUUCGGCAACCGGUAGGCAAGGCGGAGCGUGGAAAAAGAACGGGAUAAGGCCGGCGAAUCACACCCCUCUCCUCCAUGGCUAGGCUCAUGCGAGCGAGCGAAGAGACCCGACCAUUUGCUGCUCUGCUCGCCGCAUCCGGCCGCACUAGAUCCCCGAACUCCGCCACCUGCCCACAAGUUUGCGGCCAGCUGCGCCUCCGUUGCCCUUGACCAGACCGGCAGACCCCCUUGCCCUGGUUUUAUGUUGUCGCUAGAUUGGGAUCCCGCGCCGACGCCGUACGGAUCUCCUACGCCGGCGCUACAGGAAACUGGUGCAGCCCCUGCAUCUUCUUCCACGCCGCCAUCCGUGAAUCCCUUUCUUGAGUUUGUACACUGGCGCCUACUCUGUUUUAUAAGUUGUUUGUUGGAGGCGGCAAUGGAGAGUUACGGGCGGGGGCAGCGCUUCUCCAAUCCCGCACGCCAUCGUGCACUCCCGCUGAAGCAGGAGGCCACGCCCCGUCCACUCCGCGCUCUACAGAACCUUUGUGUUUCUGAUGUCAACAUUUGGAGGAGUUUAGUGGAACUGCUUUGGCUCCUCAUGAAUCCCACGCCCACGAAAAGGCGCCGCUCUCUGCGCCGGCGGCCGGAAGAGAGAUCUCCGCUGCGCUAGCACCUGGAGGCACGGUUUUGUCCACCAGACUCCCACCAUGGCGUGCGUGGCUAAUGCGGGGCAGAUCAAUAGCAGGGAGGUGGGAGGAGACCGUGCCAGAGCAUUUCUUUGACAUUAAUGUAGACCGAUUUGCUACAACUACGGUGUGUUAUGCCUGGAUAUGCAUUCAAACGCCUAAUGCUAAUGAGGUGAAGCAGGCGUCAUGCAGACUCAGCUGCAAUGGUUAUUCAUUGUGCAUUAUCUGUUUGAUACAAGAUCCCACUGACUUCAGAGCAACGCCUUGAGAGCAUGUUAGUACAAUGAAGGUUAGGAAGAGAGAGUUGGGUGCACUUGUUCGAUGUGUUUAAUCGGCAUUUGCCAAAAACUUUUCUUCAGUCUGAGUUUUAGUUCAAAAUUUCAGAGUGGGACAGAAAUCAUCUUAGAAUGAAAGAGUUCGCCAUAAAUCAUAAAUAGUUGUACUAGCUGCUCUGAAUACUGUAAAAUGUGCACUUUUGUGUGCAUGUGAAAUCAACCCUUUUGUUUCUGCCUUCA